AUAUACUGUUUUUUUCAACAGGGUUUCACUCUAUCUGGAAGAUCAUACAGUCAUCCCAUCAGGAUAUUGAAAUAUGAAUAAAACAAUGAUUGGAUGAACAUUACACAGUGAAAGAUAUUUUGUCGCAUGAAGGUAAUAAACUGAAGCUAUUAAGACUUUCCCUGGCUGAAACAUAAAAAAUGGGUUCUAGUGCAUCACAAGAGGACCAAGAGCCCUUGUUAGAACAUGAUGAAGAAAUUGAGCCUAUUUUUGAGGAACUUAAACUUGUGCUGAUUGGAAGUCAUGGUGCUGGGAAAAACACUAUUGCUAAUGCCAUCCUCAAGGAAAAGGUUUUCACCUUCUGGACAUUUUAUAAAGUGUCCACAUGAAGGAGACUCGUAGAGUAUCAGGAACACAGAUUCAUUUGGCUCGCACCCCAGGCUGGAGAGGAGACUUGAGUCGAUCAGAGAAAACAAAAUGUGAAAUUGUUCACUGUGUGCAGUCUUUAUACAAUUCUGGACCUCACGCAGUCAUCUUGGCUCUUAAAGUGAACUCAGUGCUGUCAGAGUCAAACAUCAGCACCCUAGAGAGUCUGCUUACUGUUCAGCUGUGGGAACAUACCAUAGUGCUGUUCACACAUGGAGAAAAACUGGGAGGUUAUACCAUUGAGGAUUAUAUUAGAUGUCAGAAGCUUCAACCUUUAAUCAGAAAUGUGGAGAAAGAUAUUUUGUGAUCCGCAACAAUGACAGCAACCAGAUUAUUGAGAUAAUUGAAAAGCUCAUUGUCAGGAAGAAUUCAGCAAGUUGUUUUAAACUUACUGCUCAGACAGA